rnacentral:rRNA from 1 species
ACUCCUCGGGAGGCAGCAGUAGGGAAUCUUCCACAAUGGGCGCAAGCCUGAUGGAGCAACACCGCGUGAGUGAAGAAGGGUUUCGGCUCGUAAAGCUCUGUUGUUAAAGAAGAACACGUAUGAGAGUAACUGUACAUACGUUGACGGUAUUUAACCAGAAAGUCACGGCUAACUACGUGCCAGCAGCCGCGGUAAUACGUAGGUGGCAAGCGUUAUCCGGAUUUAUUGGGCGUAAAGAGAGUGCAGGCGGUUUUCUAAGUCUGAUGUGAAAGCCUUCGGCUUAACCGGAGAAGUGCAUCGGAAACUGGAUAACUUGAGUGCAGAAGAGGGUAGUGGAACUCCAUGUGUAGCGGCGGAAUGCGUAGAUAUAUGGAAGAACACCAGUGGCGAAGGCGGCUACCUGGUCUGCAACUGACGCUGAGACUCGAAAGCAUGGGUAGCGAACAGGAUUAGAUACCCUGGUAGGAUAGCG